ensembl:miRNA
GUCUGUCAUACUCUAGCAGCACGUAAAUAUUGGUGUUAAAACUGUAAAUAUCUCCAGUAUUAACUGUGCUGCUGAAGUAAGGCU